UACGAAGGUGGCAAGCGUUGUUCGGAUUCACUGGGCGUACAGGGAGCGUAGGCGGUUGGGUAAGUCCUCCGUGAAAUCUCCGGGCCCAACCCGGAAAGUGCAGAGGGGACUGCUCUGCUAGAGGACGGGAGAGGAGCGCGGAAUUCCCGGUGUAGCGGUGAAAUGCGUAGAGAUCGGGAGGAAAGCCGGUGGCGAAGGCGGCGCUCUGGAACGUUUCUGACGCUGAGGCUCGAAAGCGUGGGGAGCAAACAGG
rnacentral:rRNA from 1 species